CGGACGGGUGAGUAACACGUGGAUAACCUACCUAUAAGACUGGGAUAACUUCGGGAAACCGGAGCUAAUACCGGUAUAAUAUUUUGAACCGCAUGGUUCAAAAGUGAAAGACGGUCUUGCUGUCACUUAUAGAUGGAUCCGCGCUGCAUUAGCUAGUUGGUAAGGUAACGGCUUACCAAGGCAACGAUGCAUAGCCGACCUGAGAGGGUGAUCGGCCACACUGGAACUGAGACACGGUCCAG
rnacentral:rRNA from 1 species